rnacentral:rRNA from 1 species
GACGAACGUUGGCGGCGUGCUUAAUACAUGCAAGUCAACUGAAGCAGUGGUAGCAAUAUCGCUGUGGAGGUGGCGCACGGGUGAGUAACACGUAGGUAAUCUGCCUUCAGGUCUGGCAUAACUCCGUGAAACCGGGGCUAAUAGCAGAUGAUGCAGCGGCUCGACAUCGAGACAGUUGUUAAAGCUAUGGCGCCUGAAGAUGAGCCUGCGUCUGAUUAGCUAGUUGGCGGGGUAACGGCCCACCAAGGCAACGAUCAGUAGCUGGUCUGAGAGGAUGAUCAGCCACACAGGAACGGAGACACGGUCCAGACUCCUACGGGAGGCAGCAGUAAGGAAUAUUGCUCAAUGGGAGAAAUCCUGAAGCAGCAACGCCGCGUGAGGGACGAAGGGCGUUUGCUUGUAAACCUCUGUAGUGAGAGAAAAAAAUCCCAAUCUUUGGGACAUGAUGGUAUCUCAAAAGUAAGCCCCGGCUAACUACGUG